CUCAAUGGAUGCUGGGAGAUUUGGAUAAGACGCAGGAGGUUAUUGCCGCACAGGGUGACCAGCAUUGCCAGCAGCAGUUGCACUUUGACCAAGAUGGCCUCCAAUUUGAGAAAGGUCUGCAUUACAGCCAUCAGUAAAAUCAGACAGGGUAACAUGAAGAUCGGUGGACAACAUUGCUUUGUGAUGUUAGAUGAAAGCAAAUUCUCCCACAAGAGGAAAUAUAACAGAGGACAGGUUGGACCUGCCUGGUGCCGGACAAAGAAGUGGGUUUUGGGCUUACUUGAAGUGGGGCAAGUAUCAAGAAGACCCAUACUGAAGAGGCCGCUCUAGAGAAGAUCUCCUGCCAACCAUAAUACGUCAUGUCAGAGGAGGCUCACAAAUUUGAAUUUGAAUUUGAAUUUGAAAAUCUUUAUUGUCCCCUAAGGGCAAUUUGGUUUGCAACAGAAGUUAAAACACACAAUCUUACAAUAUCACACAAAUUGUCUCUGAUGAAUGGCAAGCUUACAAGUGGGCACUUACAGAUCUAGGGUUUGACCAUCACACAGUAUGUCAUAAAAGACAUUUUGUUGACCCAUACACUGGAGCCCACACUCAGCACUUGGAACGUGCAUGGCAGACGUUCAAGGUUGAAGUAUGGAGGCACCGUGGAAACCGUACCACAAACCUUUUGAAGGAACAUUUAAGAGUGAUCAAGUGGGAAUAUUGGCUGGGCAGAAAUCACAGAUUUCACAUUAUCGGCCGGCUGUUGCAUGACAUUAGGAAAUAUGCUGUGCAUAAUUGUUGAAAAGUGAGGUACACACAGGUGCAGGUCUGCAGAUACAUGCUUCUCUCUGAUGAACCAGAAUCUGUGUAUCAUUUUGUUCUUUCCAUUUUCAAUUGACUAUCACAAAUCAAAAAAUGAAAAAGUGACUGGUUAUUUGUUUUUGAAUCUGAUACCAAAAAAGAAAAAGGGCUUGUUUUUCAUGCUUUAGAUUUUAGGCUCAGAUCAAAAAUAUGAAAUGGAAAAAUGGGCCACAGGAGAGAAUUUGAUUUUAAUAUUUAAUUGGUUGGAUUUACAUGACCCGGUGUUGUGUCGAACUCUUGUUUCCCCUAGCCCUGCCACCGUGACCGAUGCAUUGUCAGGAUGUGUUCCCCCUGAUAUAAUAGACACAUUUAGGGAUAUAGGUUAAAAAACACAUCACAACA